GACGAACGCUGGCGGCGUGCCUAACACAUGCAAGUCAACUUGAGGGAAGGAGCAAUCUGACCUGAUGGUGGCGCAAGGGUGCGUAACGCGUAAGUAACUUGCCCAAGGUAAGGAAUAACGUCGAGAAAUCGGCGCUAAUACCUCAUAAUGCAGCGGAUCCGCAUGGAUAUGUUGUUAAAGGUUUACCGCCUUGGGAUAGGCUUGCGUCUGAUUAGCUAGUUGGUGUGGUAAUGGCACACCAAGGCUACGAUCAGUAACUGGUCUGAGAGGAUGAUCAGUCACACUGGAACUGAGACACGGUCCAGACUCCUACGGGAGGCAGCAGUGAGGAAUAUUGGGCAAUGCACGAAAGUAGUGACC
rnacentral:rRNA from 1 species